AACGGUAGAAUGCGUGCCUCCCAAUCUUGCGAUGCGAGUUCGAUCCCGG
rnacentral:tRNA from 1 species